rnacentral:rRNA from 1 species
GAUGAACGCUGGCGGCGUGCCUAAUACAUGCAAGUCGAGCGAACAGACGAGGAGCUUGCUCCUCUGACGUUAGCGGCGGACGGGUGAGUAACACGUGGAUAACCUACCUAUAAGACUGGGAUAACUUCGGGAAACCGCAGCUAAUACCGGAUAAUAUAUUGAACCGCAUGGUUCAAUAGUGAAAGACGGUUUUGCUGUCACUUAUAGAUGGAUCCGCGCCGCAUUAGCUAGUUGGUAAGGUAACGGCUUACCAAGGCGACGAUGCGUAGCCGACCUGAGAGGGUGAUCGGCCACACUGGAACUGAGACACGGUCCAGACUCCUACGGGAGGCAGCAGUAGGGAAUCUUCCGCAAUGGGCGGAAGCCUGACGGAGCAACGCCGCGUGAGUGAUGAAGGUCUUCGGAUCGUAAAACUCUGUUAUUAGGGAAGAACAAAUGUGUAAGUAACUAUGCACGUCUUGACGGUACCUAAUCAGAAAGCCACGGCUAACUACGUG